rnacentral:lncRNA from 1 species
UUUAGUUUCGUUAUUACGUUCACAGUCAAAGUUAUUCCAACGAAUCGAAAUCAUACAUUAAUAAUAUGGCCGAAAAGAAAGGUGCUGGAAAUAUUAUAAUUAAUAAAGGUCAAGAUUUACAUGUUGGAAACAGAUAUUAUUGGAAUCAGGUUAA